AUGCUUGCUUCAGCAGCACAUUACUACAAUUUGAAUGAUACAGAGAAGAUUAGGAUGGCCCCUGUGUAAGAAUGACAUGCAAAUUCAUGAAGCACUCCAUAUUUUU
rnacentral:snRNA from 1 species